UACGUAGGGGCAAGCGUUGUCCGGAUUUAUUGGGCGUAAAGAGCGUGUAGGCGGUUCGGUAGGUCCGUUGUGAAAACUCGAGCUCAACCUCGAGACGCCGAUGGAAACCCCCGAACCUAGAGUCCGGAAGAGGAGAGUGGAAUUCCUGGUGUAGCGGUGAAAUGCGCAGAUAUCAGGAAGAACACCCGUGGCUAAGGCGGCUCUCUAGUACGGUACUGACGCUGAGACGCGAAAGCGUGGGGAGCGAACAGG
rnacentral:rRNA from 1 species